rnacentral:rRNA from 1 species
UACAGAGGGGGCAAGCGUUGUUCGGAAUUACUGGGCGUAAAGGGCGCGUAGGCGGCCUUCUAAGUCGAACGUGAAAUCCCCGGGCUCAACCCGGGAACUGCGUCCGAGACUGGAAGGCUCGAAUCCGGGAGAGGGAUGUGGAAUUCCUGGUGUAGUGGUGAAAUACGUAGAUAUCAGGAGGAACAUCGGUGGCGAAGGCGGCUCACUGGUCCUGUACUGACACUGAGGUGCGAAAGCAUGGGGAUCAAACAGG